CUGCCGCCGCCUCCCCCCCCUCCCUCAGCCACUGCUCCCAACACUACCGCCGUCCGAUUACAUCCGGGAAACUGGGACGCCACCGCCUUCGCUUACCGUCGGCUGUGGUCGGCUCUUUCCGACCAAACUCCUCCCCCCUCCUAUGGCUUUUUUAUUUAUUUAUUUAUUUUUUUAAUAUCAACCUUCCUCUUUCUUAGGCCUAAACCCCGCCUACCUCCCCUCACAGAUUCUGAGAGCCUCUCUUCCGAGAGGCAUCGGCCGUUUCCGCUCAAUGCCGGAAAUCCCUUGCUGCGCUCGCUCUCUCGGCUCACGAUUCAGAGUCGGCGCCUUCGGAAAAUAUCGGAGAUCUCCGUCAAGCCGACGGCCAGCUUGGAUGCGAUCUCGGGUUUUUCCGACGCUAGGUGUUUUCCCCCUCGGCCUCCAUAUCUGCUGUUCUUUCGGCCAUUUCCGUAAACGAAGCGACGAACGCGUCCGAUCGGCACUUUCCGUGACUCUUGUAAGACUCCCGAGAACGCUCCAAGUGCCGCGAGCAAUCCCUGGCCACUGAUUGGCUGAGCGCUUUCCCUUCGUUAGCUCCUUUGACUUUAAAUGCGUUGCCUGCGGGAAAGAGAUGCUGCGAGGCGGAAGUUCGCGAGGUCGGACUUAGUUGCAGUUUGGCUGAGGACGUAAAGCGGUAACGCCUUUGGUUGCGAAGUGUUUUUCCUCUGCGGGACGAGAUUAAACCGGAGCCUGAAAGGAUACAGCGCAGCCCCGUUCGAAAAGAAAUUGGUGAGGAUAUAACCAGCAGAAGAAAGGACCCUCAUCUCCCAAGGAGGGUAAAGUCAGCAGGAUGACUCAACAAGGAGCUAUUCUCCAGGGCUACAAUAAUGAACUUGUGAAGUAUAUGGAAACAUUGUUCCUUCGGAAAAAAGACAUAGACCAGCAAAUUGGAAAACUGAUAGAAGACAAGACUGAGAUUCAGAAUGAAAUUGAGAUCUUAACCAAACAACUGGAAAGUGUAUGUGAAAGUUUACUUUGGAAAAAUACUGUACAACAGAAGCUUGAUAACAUUCUUGUUGAAGGAAUAUUUGCAUAUGAUAAGAUUUUGGAUAGUUCUAAAACGUUGCUAAUUGCUUUGAAAACAGAAAUGGAGAAUUUAGACAAAUUGUUAGAAUUGAGAAGGCUAUUCAAUCAAUCAUCAUGAUGUACUCAGACUAAGCCAAUGCUAACACUGGGAAACGAAUUAUUUAAGAAAUGCCAUCUUUUGUUUUUCUAUUUGCUUUACUAAGUGAUCUUUAUUAAUGGGCAAGGAAAGUAGUUCUCGAAUAAUUAGAAAUAAAUCAUCUGAAAACUCGCUAAAGACAAGCUAUUAAAAAUGAAAGGUGGGGACCAAAUGUUUUUAUUUUAGUUAAAAUAAGAUGUAAUUCAGAUGACAAGGCAGGAGAUUGAGGGAUGAUAUCACUGCCAGAAGUUUUCCUUUGUUAUUCCUCUAGAAGAGGCUAGGCAUUUAACCAUAACUCCUUAAUAAUUUUCCUAUAAGUCUUAUAGGCCUGUUCCCAGUAAAUAUGCAGAGGUGUAAAUCUGAGAAUGUAAAGUGGGAGAGUAGUCCAUUUUUCUCUUUCCAUAUUUAAUUUAUCUUAUCCCUGGUGGAUCACUGCUGACUUUUUGUUCUGUAAAAAAGGAUAUGCCCAAAUGCUGACUAGUUUGCUAGAGAAAGUGAAAGUAACUUUGUUUGGAUAAUGUGUUUAGUGUGUGGUCUGAAUGUGACCAAUUUGGUUUUGUUCGGUCUGAAGUGUGACCUAAGUUGUUAAAAUUUGUAAGCCAUGGUUAAUGGUUUACUGUAAUAUGGAAAUAUAGCUAAUGCCUGGAUGUGCAACAGUUUAAUAAAUAAACUAUUUUGUUUAUUAAA